AUGUACAUUCUUACAACAUAGCGUUAAUUCACUAGAUCCCAUUAGAACUCCAUAGUUAAGUGCGCUUGUGCUAGAGUAGCACUAGGAUGGGUGAAUUCAUGGGAAGUCCUAGUGUUUUACAUU
rfam:Picea glauca, whole genome shotgun sequence.